AACGAACGCUGGCGGCAUGCCUAACACAUGCAAGUCGAACGAGACGUUCGGGGCUAGUGGCGCACGGGUGCGUAACGCGUGGGAACCUGCCCUUAGGUUCGGAAUAACUCCCCGAAAGGGGUGCUAAUACCGGAUAAUGUCUUCGGACCAAAGAUUUAUCGCCUUUGGAUGGGCCCGCGUUGGAUUAGCUAGUUGGUAGGGUAAAAGCCUACCAAGGCGACGAUCCAUAGCUGGUCUGAGAGGAUGAUCAGCCACACUGGGACUGAGACACGGCCCAGACUCCUACGGGAGGCAGCAGUGGGGAAUAUUGGACAAUGGGCGAAAGCCUGAUCCAGCAAUGCCGCGUGAGUGAUGAAGGCCUUAGGGUUGUAAAGCUCUUUUACCCGGGAUGAUAAUGACAGUACCGGGAGAAUAAGCUCCGGCUAACUCCGUG
rnacentral:rRNA from 1 species